rnacentral:rRNA from 1 species
AUGGCCUUUCGGGAGCAAGAGUCUUCCGGGACAACAUCUGGUCGGAGAACUGCCUCUGCUCGGAAGAAGCGCAGAUCCAGCCAACUGAAGCGGUUGCGGCCAGAAGAGAGGUCGCUGAACAAUUAUGUGCUCUGGCAUACAUACGUUUUGAUGGCCGUAACAGGCUUGGGCUACCUGGCGCUCCUAUGGUCGACUGUAGUCCUCCUGGGGGGCUUCGUCGCCGUGCUGCGGAGCAAGGAUUUCUGGUGCCUCACAGCCAUUAGCAUGUUACAGGCAUCCAGGUUAGUAAUGGCAUAUCGCCACCUUCUGGAUCCCGUUUGA